GGGUUGUGAGGUUAAGCGACUAAGCGUACACGGUGGAUGCCCUGGCAGUCAGAGGCGAUGAAGGACGUGCUAAUCUGCGAAAAGCGUCGGUAAGGUGAUAUGAACCGUUAUAGCCGGCGAUGUCCGAAUGGGGAAACCCAGUGCAAUUCGUUGCACUAUCGUUAACUGAAUACAUAGGUUAACGAGGCGAACCGGGGGAACUGAAACAUCUAAGUACCCCGAGGAAAAGAAAUCAACCGAGAUUCCCCCAGUAGCGGCGAGCGAACGGGGAGCAGCCCGGAGUCUGAAUCAGCUUGUGUGUUAGUGGAAGCGUCUGGAAAGUCGCAGGGUACAGGGUGAUACUCCCGUACACUAAAACACACAGGUUGUGAACUCGAAGAGUAGGGCGGGACACGUGGUAUCCUGUCUGAAUAUGGGGGGACCAUCCUCCAAGGCUAAAUACUCCUGACUGACCGAUAGUGAACCAGUACCGUGAGGGAAAGGCGAAAAGAACCCCGGCGAGGGGAGUGAAAAAGAACCUGAAACCGUGUACGUACAAGCAGUAGGAGCCCACUAGUUGGGUGACUGCGUACCUUUUGUAUAAUGGGUCAGCGACUUAUAUUCUGUAGCAAGGUUAACCGUAUAGGGGAGCCGCAGGGAAACCGAGUCUUAACUGGGCGUUAAGUUGCAGGGUAUAGACCCGAAACCCGGUGAUCUAGCCAUGGGCAGGUUGAAGGUUGGGUAACACUAACUGGAGGACCGAACCGACUAAUGUUGAAAAAUUAGCGGAUGACUUGUGGCUGGGGGUGAAAGGCCAAUCAAACCGGGAGAUAGCUGGUUCUCCCCGAAAGCUAUUUAGGUAGCGCCUCGUGAAUUCAUCUUCGGGGUAGAGCACUGUUUCGGCUAGGGGGUCAUCCCGACUUACCAACCCGAUGCAAACUACGAAUACCGAAGAAUGUUAUCACGGGAGACACACGGCGGGUGCUAACGUCCGUCGUGAAGAGGGAAACAACCCAGACCGCCAGCUAAGGUCCCAAAGUCAUGGUUAAGUGGGAAACGAUGUGGGAAGGCCCAGACAGCCAGGAUGUUGGCUUAGAAGCAGCCAUCAUUUAAAGAAAGCGUAAUAGCUCACUGGUCGAGUCGGCCUGCGCGGAAGAUGUAACGGGGCUAAACCAUGCACCGAAGCUGCGGCAGCGACACUAUGUGUUGUUGGGUAGGGGAGCGUUCUGUAAGCCGUUGAAGGUGGCCUGUGAGGGUUGCUGGAGGUAUCAGAAGUGCGAAUGCUGACAUAAGUAACGAUAAUGCGGGUGAAAAACCCGCACGCCGGAAGACCAAGGGUUCCUGUCCAACGUUAAUCGGGGCAGGGUGAGUCGACCCCUAAGGCGAGGCCGAAAGGCGUAGUCGAUGGGAAACAGGUUAAUAUUCCUGUACUUGGUGUUACUGCGAAGGGGGGACGGAGAAGGCUAUGUUGGCCGGGCGACGGUUGUCCCGGUUUAAGCAUGUAGGCGGAUGUUCCAGGUAAAUCCGGAACGUCACUAACGCUGAGGUGUGAUGACGAGGCACUACGGUGCUGAAGUGACAAAUGCCCUGCUUCCAGGAAAAGCCUCUAAGCAUCAGGUAACAUCAAAUCGUACCCCAAACCGACACAGGUGGUCAGGUAGAGAAUACCAAGGCGCUUGAGAGAACUCGGGUGAAGGAACUAGGCAAAAUGGUGCCGUAACUUCGGGAGAAGGCACGCUGAUGGUAAGUGAAGUGACUUGCUCAUGGAGCUGAAAUCAGUCGAAGAUACCAGCUGGCUGCAACUGUUUAUUAAAAACACAGCACUGUGCAAACACGAAAGUGGACGUAUACGGUGUGACGCCUGCCCGGUGCCGGAAGGUUAAUUGAUGGGGUUAUCCUCGCGGAGAAGCUCUUGAUCGAAGCCCCGGUAAACGGCGGCCGUAACUAUAACGGUCCUAAGGUAGCGAAAUUCCUUGUCGGGUAAGUUCCGACCUGCACGAAUGGCGUAAUGAUGGCCAGGCUGUCUCCACCCGAGACUCAGUGAAAUUGAACUCGCUGUGAAGAUGCAGUGUACCCGCGGCAAGACGGAAAGACCCCGUGAACCUUUACUAUAGCUUGACACUGAACACUGGUCCUUGAUGUGUAGGAUAGGUGGGAGGCUUUGAAGUGUGGACGCCAGUCUGCAUGGAGCCGUCCUUGAAAUACCACCCUUUAAUGGCUGGUGUUCUAACGUGGGCCCCUAAUCGGGGUUGCGGACAGUGUCUGGUGGGUAGUUUGACUGGGGCGGUCUCCUCCUAAAGAGUAACGGAGGAGCACGAAGGUCAGCUAAUCCUGGUCGGACAUCAGGAGGUUAGUGCAAUGGCAUAAGCUGGCUUGACUGCGAGCGUGACGGCGCGAGCAGGUGCGAAAGCAGGUCAUAGUGAUCCGGUGGUUCUGAAUGGAAGGGCCAUCGCUCAACGGAUAAAAGGUACUCCGGGGAUAACAGGCUGAUACCGCCCAAGAGUUCAUAUCGACGGCGGUGUUUGGCACCUCGAUGUCGGCUCAUCACAUCCUGGGGCUGAAGUAGGUCCCAAGGGUAUGGCUGUUCGCCAUUUAAAGUGGUACGCGAGCUGGGUUUAGAACGUCGUGAGACAGUUCGGUCCCUAUCUGCCGUGGGCGCUGGAGAAUUGAGGGGGGCUGCUCCUAGUACGAGAGGACCGGAGUGGACGCAUCACUGGUGUUCGGGUUGUCAUGCCAAUGGCAUUGCCCGGUAGCUAAAUGCGGAAGAGAUAAGUGCUGAAAGCAUCUAAGCACGAAACUUGCCCCGAGAUGAGUUCUCCCUGACUCCUUGAGAGUCCUGAAGGAACGUUGAAGACGACGACGUUGAUAGGCCGGGUGUGUAAGCGCAGCGAUGCGUUGAGCUAACCGGUACUAAUGAACCGUGAGGCUUAACCUUACAACGCCGAAG
rnacentral:rRNA from 1 species